CUCAGUCAAUGAUGUGGUGACGUUGCAAUGACUAAUUGACUUUUGUGUGUUUAAUUACUGGAAAUGAAUGCAUAAGUAGAAAAUAAAAUUCCACUGGACAGGUUAAUACCACCGAGUUUCUGUUUUAUUGAGGUGGAGCUUGUCAACGUGAGUGUUUCCAACCUGGGCUUGAACUAAAAGAGAACGUGUAAGUUCAUUUUCAGUUUUGCUAAAAUGGAGGUAACAUCGGGAAGGUUAAAACCUAAUGUUCUUGAAGAGCUAACCUGCUCCGUGUGCCUGGAGCUGUUUGAUCAUCCUGUGACCAUGGAAUGCGGGCAUAAUUUUUGCAAACCCUGUAUCAAUAGGGUACUCGAACUUGAUAGUGAUGCCUCCUGCCCUCAGUGUCGAGCAAAACUGCUCACGAAAAGAUACACGGUCAACAGGACAUUAGCCAACGUGAUAAGAGAAGUAACUCACAACAGUACAAACGUAGUGAUCCAUCUCUGUGAGACACAUAUGAAGCAAUCAGCAGUAUACAAAAAGGCAGACGACCUUUGGCCCUGCCUUAUUUGUCAGCCGUCAGAAACGCGCCACAGCUUAUUAGUGGAGAACAUAAAUCCUGAGUGCUUGCCAGAACCACUGAAAGCUGUUGUAGAGAGCAGUGGAACAUGCCAUCAGCCGCCUAAAAGAAAAGCAGUAAUAUGGAAACGUAGCAAAUCCUCAUCAUUUGACUCAUCAGGAAAGACCCCACAAGAAAGAAGGUUGAAUGAAACUUCAGAUUCCAUAACCUCAACUGAUGACCAGGAAAAAAUUAAUUUAGAGUUGCUUGUCCAGUCUAAAUACGCGGAAUUACAUAAAAUUCUCAAUCAGUUGCAUGAAUUUCUUCAUAAUAAAGAACACAGACUGAUAGAGAACAUCAGGAGUGGAGAGCCUGGGGUUCAGAAUGAGGUGCUAGAAAAUCUGGGCAACAUCAAGACUGCAAGCAUUGCCAUUCGGGAAGCAAUAUCGGAUACAAACUUAAAGAGUUGUGGGGGAGUCAGAGCUUAUCUUCUUACUUAGUGGUCAUACGGCAGAGAAGUAAUUCUGGAUGAGACACCAGUCCAUUGCAAGAUACACACGCGCGCACACAGUCUCACUUUGGAGGCUCACAAGUUCUCCUACAGCUUGUCUUGAAAUGUGAAAUAAAACCAGAGUACCUGACGAAACCUCAUGUGACCAUGGGAAGGACAUACAGACUCCAUGCAGAAGGCAUCACAGCCAAGAACUGAACUGGAGAGUACAUGUUAUGAGGUAGAGAUGCUAACUGCUGCACCACUGUGCCUUCAUAAAUGAACACAAUUUCUUUAAGAGAAGGACAGAAUCAUUGAAAAAUGUCUAUGGAAGGCAAACUCCCAUAUCAUGCAUGCAGAAUGAGACCUGUUGCAACUUCUUCAAUAAUAUAAUCAAGACAAGGUUGCCACAGAAGAGGGAAAGGACCAUUUCAUUGUCAAAAGAAACACUGGCAACGCGCUCUGCCCAGAUUAGCGGCAAAAGAUUCAGCGUCAUUGACAGGAUAAACACAAGCACAUAGUACGGUUAGAGUAAAAAUUAGCCUGCUUGUCAGAAGUGUGAAACACCAACUUGAAAUGAAGAUACUGAGUCCAGAAAUUAGGAAGCUCUCGGUCUGUAAACUGACCAGUCUCCAUAACUGCAAUCCUGUUUGUCAUUAUACGUGGGGAAGAGGAGGAGUUGCACUUUAUAAAUGUUUGAGUGAUUUUAUUUUUUUCUCUUCGCUAUGUUAUUUACUUACAGUAAAAAAAAAAAAAAACUGUGACUAU